rnacentral:rRNA from 1 species
UACAGAGGAUGCAAGCGUUAUCCGGAAUGAUUGGGCGUAAAGCGUCUGUAGGUGGCGUUUUAAGUCCGCCGUCAAAUCCCAGGGCUCAACCCUGGACAGGCGGCGGAAACGGCCAAGCUGGAGUACGGUAGGGGGAGAGGGAAUUUCCGGUGGAGCGGUGAAAUGCGUAGAGAUCGGAAAGAACACCGAUGGCGAAAGCACUCUGCUGGGCC